CUUGGUCAUUUAGAGGAAGUAAAAGUCGUAACAAGGUUUCCGUAGGUGAACCUGCGGAAGGAUCAUUAACGCAUCUCCGACGGCGGAGGCGCGCCCGGCUCCGGACCGAAAGGCCGUGCAGCGGGGGCGCCCGAGUCGCUCGAACCUUUCAAACCCACCGUGCACUCUUGUCGGCGAGGGGCCCCCAGCGCCCCGAACCGGAUCGCAAACACCUUUUAAAACAGAAUGACCAGCGGACCUGUGUGCCGCCUAAACUUAAACAACUUUCAACAACGGAUCUCUUGGCUCUCGCAUCGAUGAAGAACGCAGCGAAAUGCGAUAAGUAAUGUGAAUUGCAGAAUUCAGUGAAUCAUCGAAUCUUUGAACGCACCUUGCGCUCCUUGGUAUUCCGAGGAGCAUGCCUGUUUGAGUGUCUUGAAGUCAUCAACCCCUCCCGUUUCGCACGCGGAGAAGGUUGGACGUGGGGGCUUGCGGUCGUGAGGCCGCUCCCCUCAAAUGCUUCGGUCGGGCCUGUGGGUCGGACUCGGUCGGGCGUUGUACCAUCCUCGCUCUCCUCCGAGAACUUCCCCGUCGAUAGAGCCCUUCCACGGCCUCCUAUGGAGCGGUGGCCAAAACAAACACUUUGAAAUCUGACCUCAAAUCAGGUAGGACUACCCGCUGAACUUAAGCAUAUCAAUAAGCGGAGGA
rnacentral:rRNA from 1 species